GGAUGGAUGGCCGAGCGGUCGAAGGCGCGCGCCUGGAAAGUGCGUAUACGUCAAAAGCGUAUCGUGGGUUCGAAUCCCACUCCAUCCGCCA
rnacentral:tRNA from 1 species